rnacentral:rRNA from 1 species
AACGUACGCUGGCGGCACGCCUAACACAUGCAAGUCGAACGCAGUAGCAAUACUGAGUGGCAGACGGGUGAGUAACAUGUGGGAAUCUGCCUUGUGGUUCAGGACAACAUUGGGAAACCGAUGCUAAUACUGGAUAAGCCCUUACGGGGAAAGUUUUAAUGCCAUAAGAUGAGCCCGCAUUUGAUUAGUUAGUUGGUGAGGUAAUGGCUCACCAAGACAAUGAUCAAUAGCUGAUCUGAGAGGAUGAUCAGCCACACUGGGACUGAGACACGGCCCAGACUCCUACGGGAGGCAGCAGUGGGGAAUCUUGCACAAAGGAGGAAACUCUGAUGCAGCGAUGCCGCGUGAGUGAAGAAGGCCUUUGGGUUGUAAAGCUCUUUUGUAGGGGAAGAUAAUGACUGUACCCUAAGAAUAAGGUCCGGCUAACUUCGUGCCAGCAGCCGCGGUAAUACGAAGGGACCUAGCGUAGUUCGGAAUUACUGGGCGUAAAGCGCGCGUAGGCCGUUGAGUUAGUUAAUUGUGAAAUCCCAAAGCUUAACUUUGGAACUGCAAUUAAAACUGCUCGACUAGAGUUUGAUAGAGGAAAGCGGAAUACAUA